UUUUGUUCAACAAUUAAGCUACUGGUCCUCAUUUUGUGUUUCAUAGUCAUCAGUUAUGCCCUUCCAAUCUCUGAAGAAGAAGACAAUCGAGUCAAGCACUCAGGGAGUUAUGAAAUGAGUCGGUAUUUGCUUCAGUAUCCAUCAUUCUGUCCCAGCUUUCAACCAAACCAAGGCUUGUUGCUGCAAAUGUUGUUGGCAAAUCUCACAAGUGCUAUUCCUCCACCUCUUUCAUCUCCAGCAGGAAAAUGAGAUGCACAUGUAUGCUAAAUAUGUGGAAAUAUAUGGAAAUGUAUGCUCCUUAUUGCACUUUUUAAGAUCAUGUUGAUCAAAUAGUGUUUUAAAUAAAAUGAAACUA